UGCAAUGACAGUAUGGUACCUGUGGGCA
rnacentral:piRNA from 1 species